rnacentral:rRNA from 1 species
CCCCUAGGGCCUGCCUCGCAAGCUUUAUUCUUUACUCCCCAAGUGGGUUCAGAUGUGUGCUCACUUGGUNAGUGAUGCUGAGAUAGGUCUUGAAGCCCUUUGUGAUUGGCUUUCGGGUGUCUUAUCUAUCCAGCCUGAUAUCACUCAUUUAUUGGUCAGGUUUGAAAGCAAUCUACUCUUUGGGGGGAUUUAUAUCCUCUUUUUGAGUCUCAAUGGAGCAAGGUAGAGGGCUCCGACAAUGUUUGUUGUCCAUAAUGAUUGUCUUGAUCAUUGGGCUUUCAUUUUUUACAACUUUCAGCAAUGGAUCUCUUGGUUCUCGCAUCGAUGAAGAACGCAGUGAAAUGCGAUAACUGGUGUGAAUUGCAUCCAAGUAACUCUAAUUUACGAAUAACACCAAGUGAAUCAUCGAGUCUUUGAACGCAAUUGCGCCCUCUCGGUCGCUUCCAAUUGGGGGUUGACUCAUAGGGGGUACAUCUGUUCGAGGGUCAUUUGAAUCUCUCAAAGGGUUUGGUUCAACACACCCUUUGGAUUUUGGGUCUUGCCGUGAAAUUUAUCUUGGCUCACCUUGAAAGCAUUAGCAAGCUUUUAGUACUCAAGUCUUUUGAUGUGAGGGCGUUUUAAUUGGUCAAGCCUUUUAAGCAUCAUAGAUUGACUUAAGUUGGUUCUGAAG